rnacentral:rRNA from 1 species
GAUGAACGCUAGCGGCAGGCCUAACACAUGCAAGUCGAGGGAGAGGUUACCUUCGGGUAACCAAAACCGGCGCACGGGCGCGUAACGCGUAUACAAUUUGCCUUUCACAUAGGGAUAGCCAGAUGAAAUUUGGAUUAAUACCUAAUGGUAUAUAAGAGCGGCAUCGUUUUUAUAUUAAAGCUACGGUGGUGAAAGAUGAGUAUGCGUUCUAUUAGCUAGUUGGAGAGGUAACGGCUCCCCAAGGCGACGAUAGAUAGGGGUUCUGAGAGGGAUGUCCCCCACACGGGUACUGAGAUACGGACCAGACUCCUACGGGAGGCAGCAGUGAGGAAUAUUGGACAAUGGUCGGAAGACUGAUCCAGCCAUGCCGCGUGCAGGAAGAAGGUGCUAUGGAUUGUAAACUGCUGUUGUAAGGGAGGAAUAAGGUGUACGUGUACUUUGAUGACGGUACCUUACGAAUAAGCAUCGGCUAACUCCGUG